UACCAUCUAAAUUCGUCAUACUAAUUUUAUUAUUUAACUGACUCUAUUUUUAUAUUAAAAAGUUUGUAUAUAGUGAAACAUUCCAUGUUAAUUUGUCUAUCCUUUUUUGGAAGAAUAAAAUCAAACCACUUCAAACUCAUCAUAAAUUUCACUAACUACAGUGAAACCUCUAUAAAUUAAUAAUGUUGGAAUUACACCAAAGCUAUAAUUUUUUUAUUAAUUUAUAGAAAUAUUAAUUUAUCGAUAUACUAAUUGAACCAAAAACUCAAUUUGAAACUAUAAAAUUAUAUUAUUUUAUAAAAAAAUUUAGUGUAUAUUAAUUUAUAGAGUAAUAAUUUAAAGAUGUUAUACUUGUACUUAAUUUUUCGAUGUCCUCUCUUUUUUCAAUAGAAAACAGAGGUAAAAGAAAACUAAUAAAUAUUAUUUAUUUUUUUCAAAUAUCUUUAAUUUUUCCACCAAAAUCUUCAAAAUUCUAACAAAAUGACCAUCAAAAUUGCACCAAAUCUGAAAUUCCUCUAAUCUUCUAAAACCCCUAAUCCAAUAAAUCUCCCUACUGACAUUUGGAAAGUUAUAAACAUGCUAGACUAAAUCUUAAUAAUAAAAGUUAAUUUAUAAUUUAGAAUUCAAAUGACUUAUAACAAUAAUUUAUGGUUCCACAUAAUUUACGACGAACAAAAAGCCAAUAAAGCUAUAAUGAGGAAGAUGACUUUAUAUAUGUGUAUGAGUGUGUUUUUGGAAAAAAAAGUUGUUUGUUUUUAUAGAGAAAAUUCAACGAAUUUUAAUUAUACAUAGAUACGAUAUCGGACCCUGCUACAAGUUAUUAGAUGAUAAUGAUAUUGUCAAAUCGUAUAAUAAUUCUAAAUUAUGGAUAAUACUUGAUGAUUAAAAAAAUGCACAAAUUGACUUGGUGCACAUCUGUCACAUGUGAUACAUAGUCAUGUUUUUAAUUUGUAAAACCUUUUUUUUUUAAACGCUAGAUAUAUUGAUUCUUCGCAAAAACGGGUAGAGCAGCCGCUGUGGUUUUUAGUAGUAUUUCUUUACCUCUCUGUGAUAGCUUACGCAUGUACCAACCAUCCAAUCUUCCGCUGGUCCUUUCUUUGAGGUAUGAAAGCAGCUCUACCUUAGAACCCGAAAAGCAUUUCAAGAGGCCCAAAUAUUUACUUGUUCCUCCGACAUUGAAGAUCUUGAGGAUAUUUUGUAUUGCAGCCUUAUCUUCUUGAGCAAUCUUAUCGCCAAAGGAAGAGGCUGUCAUCCGCAAAGAAGAAGUGAUGACGCAAAACGUAAUCCUUCUAACAGACCAUUUCUCUCCGCCACAUCAAGGAGGUGGGAUAGGCCUUCAGUACAGAGCACAGAGAGGAACGGAGACAAUUGUUAAUAACCGCGAGUUGGGCCCUGUUCGUUUGCUCACCCAGGUGAUCCAUCUGGGUGAAGAUGCAAAUUGAUGUUCGUUUUGUGCAUUAUAAUGAUACAUCCAGAUGGAUCACCCAGCUGAAUUUUUCAAAACUCAUCUCAAAUUCUCACCCAAAUGAAGGUGAGUCUUGAUGGUGCAUCUGGAUGCAGAUGCAUCUUCAGUCCAAAAUGAUAAAUGACAAAAAUGACCUUUUAAAAUCAAAAUAUUAUUUUCAAAUCGUAAAUUCUAUUUUUUGCAUAUACAUUUUUCCGUUAUAACCAAAAAAUGCAUUUUCUCGCAAAAACUGAAAAACACACUUUCCCGCCAAAACCGCAAGAUGCGGUUUUCCGCAAAAAAAACAUAAAACACACAUUUUCAUAAAAAAAACAUGUUUCGGUUAAACCAGUAAAACCGCACUUUUCGAACAAAACCGAAAAAACGCAUUUCCCGCCAACACCAAAAAACGCAUAUUCCCGCCAAAACUCCAAAAAGCAUUUUCCGGCCAAAACCGCAAAAAGCAUUUUCCCGCCAAAACAGGAAAAAAACGCAUUUUCUCACCAAAACCGAAAAAACACAAUUUCCCGCCAAAACCGGAAAACCGAAUUUUUCCACCAAAACCAAAAAACGAAAAUUUUUCCGCCAAAACCGGUAAACGAAAUUUUCCCCACCAAAACCGGAGAAACGCAUUUUCCCGCUAAAACCGGAAAAACGCAUUUUCCCGCUAAAACC